GCUCCGUGGUGAAGAACACAUUGGAUUGCAAAUCCAAAGACGCAGGCCAACCCCCUGCCGGGGCUU
rnacentral:tRNA from 1 species